GCGUUAGUACUAAAUGAGGAAACCUCAGAUUUACAGAACAAUUUUAAAACCUGAUGGUAGAACAUGUUUAUAUCAGAGGUUACAGUCUGAUGUUAACUUACAGUAACUUCACUGCUUUAUAUGUGAUGUUGUCCAGAUGUGGAGAAGAGUACAACUAGUUACAAAAAUGACUUACCUGUAGAGUUUAUCUUCACUUUUGGGGGCUAACGUUGUUAGCAGCAGCAGGUGAACAGCGGAAGCCGUAAAUGUGGGCGGGACAGAGAGUCCUGACCCAUACACGGAUAUUUAUAUCUCUGGCAGCUGCAGCUCCCAGUGAACAGGAGGAUUUUAUUAGAGGAAGUCAGGCACAGUCACAGAGAGAAACACGAGAGCUCACACUGAAACGGAGCUACAGCGUUGUGUCUUGGAGAAGAUUUAUUUUCAAAGCUACAUGUGUGACGGUAAUAAACCGUGCCAGAGCAGACCUCAUUAGCACUUCCGCUAGGUCGGCUCACCUUUCCGGUCACUCCAGGGACGCUGUUGUCGGUAAUGUAGCCAGAAUAUGGAUUCAUUUUUCGUUUGGGCUUGACAACGACGAGAACAAAACUAUUCAGAGCAGAGUGAAAGUAGCAGUUCCUCCUGAAGGUCAGAGAUUGCAGCAUCUGAGGGCCUCUUCAAAAGAAGACGUAGUUGAUGAAGGCGUUCUGGAGCAGGACCAGAAAGACCACGACCAAGCAGCCUUGAGAUCUUAGGCAGCGUCUCCCUCAGACCAAAGAACUACAGACUCUUCACAACCUGCUCAAACUCUUGGUACAGGACCUCACCACACGGGUCAAGAAGGUUUCUGUCUCAUUUCUACUCUGAAGCUCACCUUCUCCUGCUCAAACUGCUGACAAAUGUUUCUGCUGCUCUAAAGUCUGGUCUCCAGAACUUCCUAAAACUCUCAAAGUCUCUUCUGCUGCAGGUUGCUUUGUAGAACUGUUCCAGAAAACCUCACUAAACCACAUGGAGGGGCCUCAAGAUAGUCGUCCAAAUGAAACAGUACAAAAACCAAACUAGCACAACCCAAACACUAAAGUCUCCUGCAGCCUACCAGAGAACCUCUGAGAACAGAGAAUCAGGACAGGAACUCUUACCUUCUGGACAACCAAAGCUGCUUCUCAAACAAGAAUACAGAAUGUGUCUGAGCAAAAACCUCUACAGACUCACUACAGCCAAGAUAAAGACACAACUCAGCUGCACCAAAUCCACUAAUCACUGCACACAUUAGCACCAUGUGCUGUGGCUAAAGAACCUCAUUUACCAAGACAACUAUCCAGUACAAAGCCCUAAAACACACCAAAACAUUACGACCCGGCUGUCUAGGGAAACACAUUAAAGACGAUUUUACUGCUGGAAGCUGCAAGCCAACGCCUAAAGAACAAACUAAAGCAAGGGAGCCAAACCCGCUUCAGUAGUGAAGAGAAUCUGAAGAAAUGUUUGUCUCCAGCUAAACAAAGCAGGAAGACACUGAGCUGCUCAGGUGUUCCUGAUAACACCAAGCAGCCACCUGGACAGCCAAUAGGAACACAGCUUCCUGGAAGUCUAGAGGGCUGGCUUAGUGAAGGAAAUUUAGUUUAAAGUAGAAGCAGAAAGUUAACAAAGAAAGUUGAAAACCACCUUCUGAUACCUGAAAUCUCUGAGUUUUCACACAAAGAACACCUGAACAUGUCAAACUGGUUCCAUAGUAGAACCCUCAUUGUAAAAACGUCAUAGUAUGGUGUGUUGCUCAAAAAAUAUUAGGGCCCGGCUGUCUAGGGUCACUGAGGAGCAACACAAAAACAGGACAAACGCUGGUUUCCAGGGGGUUAGGAGGAUAUUUAUUUGAAAGAGGAAGUUUACAACAACACAACAUGUGAGCAGAAAAAUCACAAAGUCUGUCUUUAGUUCAGCUGAAAAUAUUAGUUUUUGUCUUUUUUAUUGACCAAAUUUUUCAGAAAGUAGAUGAAGAAUAAUUAAAGCUCUCAUGUAAAAGUCCAACUUAUUUUGGAUCCUUGUGGAGAGUUUAAUCUUAGAGUUUGUAAAGCUGUUGAGUUUUUAGUCACAUGGAUUGUUUUGACAUUUAAUAACCGAGUCCUGAAAAAAAAUUACAGUUGUGGAUUUCUGUCAUUUAGUCUCGCAUUUAGGUUUUCAUUGAAAAAAAAAAUCAUCAUGAAUUUUGGCGCAAAAAAAGGCCAUAGUAUACUAUGUCGACAAAAAUGAGAUUUUUUAACAUGUUGCAAAAACGUGCAAUAUGAUGAAAUGAUGUAAAGGAGGCCGUGAAAAACACUCCAGAAAGGUUUUCUUUGAAAAAAAUUCAUCAUGAAUUUUGGCGCAAAAACAACGCCAUAGUAUACUAUGUCGAAAAAUAAAAAGCGAAUUUUCAACAUAUUGUAAAAAUGUGCCAUAUGAUGAAAUAAUGUAAAGGAGGCCGUGAAAAACACUCCAGAAAGGUUUUCUUCGAAAAAAAAAUCAACAUGAAUUUUGGCACAAAAAAAAAAACGCCUUACUAUACUAUGUUGAAAAAAAAAUGAGAUUUUUAAACAUGUUGUAAAAACGUACCAAAUGAUGAAAUAAUGUAAAGGACGCCGCGAAAAACACUCCAGAAAGGUUUUCUUUGAAAAAAAAAAAAUCAUCAUGAAUUUUGGCGCAAAAAACGCCUUACUAUACUAUGUCGAAAAAAAAAUGAGAUUUUUUUAAAAUGUUGUAAAAACAUGCCAUAUGAUGAAAUAAUGUAAAGGAGGCUGUGAAAAACACUCCAGAAAGGUUUUCUUUGAAAAAAAAUUAUCAUGAAUUUUGGCGCAAAAAAACCCGCCAUAGUAUACUAUGUUGAAAAAUAAAAAGCAAAUUUUCAACAUAUUGUAAAAACAUGCCAUAUGAUGAAAUAAUGUAAUGGAGGCCGUGAAAAACACUCCAGAAAGGUUUUCUUUGAAAAAAAAAAAAUCAUCAUGAAUUUUGGCGCAAAAAAAGGCCUUACUAUACUAUGUCGAAAAAAAAUGCGAUUUUUCAACAUAUUGUAAAAACGUGCCAUAUGAUGAAAAGAUGUGACAUGAAAAUGCAUUUUACAAAAUCAAUAACAUUCAUUUUCUGUCUCAUUUUAAAACUGAUGAGUUUCGAUUGAACCUGAUCCUGUACUAGCGUGAGGUAAACAACUACAUUGUCUAGGAGCAAAGACAGCAAUAGCUCGGCCUCAUUUCAUCUUAAAUGAAGCUUUUGAAACAUUCAGUAUAAAAAGUUAGCAAACUGACAGGUCGGGCAUUUUGCUGAGAUUGUUGCAUUUCACUAACUAGUCCAGCAGAAUGGAAAUAUAUAUUAAAGCCACAAAUUACAAAGCCCCACGAUAGCAUAUAAAUAGAGUAUAAAACAGAGUCAAGAUGUAAUAUCAGAGGAGGCAAGAAAACACCAGUGGUCAGUGCAGAUGUCCAAGGUUGGGAUACAGCAGCUGGUGUAGUCGCUGUUUGCAGACAACAGAUAGAAUCCAGCACUUAUACACACCAGGCAGUACCACAUAGCGACACAAGAUCAUCUUAUAGACCCACUGUGAGUAUUCAGUCACACAAUAGCUGUGCAUGGACAGCUGUCUGUGCAGCUUUCAUGUCACUGCUUGAAAUCAAUGUCCUUUCUUUUCACCCUAAAGCCUCUUCAGAGGCUUAGCGGUUUGUCAAACAGCGCCCAGUAUAAAGGCUUUUGGUCUUCAGCAGAGGUAGGCAGGCUUUUCACAGCAGAUUAUGAUUGACUCGAUGAUUGCAGAGAACUUGGGGCUGACAGCUCAGAUUAGGAUCGGAUCGCUUUUCCCUUGACAGGAAAGUAAUGUGUUCCAUCAUGGUUUCCGUCCAAUGUGUAGCCAGGUUAAAAACAAAAGGGUCACAGUUACAGGUCCAUGUCUUUCAUAUGAAACUGCAUGACAAACUGGAUCACUGCAAGAACAAUUAGGUUCUUUCACUUUUUGAAGACAUCUUUCUCUCUUUAUUAGAGCUUGACACUUUCCUCAAAUUAGUCAGAUUCCUAGACCUUUGACACAUGCAGCAGUUUGUCUUGUCAGACCAGGUGAAGCUCGGUUUUAGCAAUCUGCUGGCCUGAAGAGGAACUGUGAGCUUUUGAUUACAACAUAGGAAGUUGUGUGUUCUAAAUGCUUCAUGUUCAAGCGGCAACAUCGCGGCGUAACCUGUGAAAACUCUGCUGCUAGGCAACAGCAUGAUGGAUGUUACCGUCUGCAUCUAGAGGCUAACCAGCUAGCAAAGGAGUAGAUGAAGUAGUGUAGGUUGCAAAGGAAUAGCAAAAGAAUGAGGCCGCUGGGAAUAUUAAUGUCGCGUUACAUUAACAUUAUCGUCAGACAUUAUAAAACUAGUAGGAAAAACUCCGACUAAAAUUGCAAUGAACUAAUUCACCAUCACACCAUCUGGCUCAACUUUGAGAAAAGUGGGGGGAAUUCAUAAGGACUCUUCCAGUAAACACAGCACAGCUUAAAGGUAGGAAUUAUUGCAAUGCAGUUAAUAAUUAUAUGAGUUGCUCCUGUGUUUGACAUAAAAUAUCUGCUGCAGAAAAGCUCAAAUUAACUUUGGUGUCACUCCACCAUUCAGUUCACUGAUAUGUUUACAUCAGAAUUUGAGGAAAGUGAUACUGUAACAAAGCUAUGUAUUAGACUAAAAAACUACCCCACUUAAACUGAGCUAGACAGCCUAAUAUGCAGUGAUCUAUAACAGGCAACAGAGGGCGCCACACAAAGGCAACACAAUCUGUUGGAUGUUGGGAUGCCCUAAGGACACCCAGAAAAGUGGAAUAUUGUAGCUGCUUUAUUUUAAGAUAUUAAAAUGUGAGUUUAAAGUGACAUUUUAUUUCAGUAACAGCCGAGUUAAGGGUUAUUAAGAACAUCAACUCAACAGUAUCUUGUAAGUUAAUCUGUACAUAGUAAAGUAUUUGUGAACUAUUCAUGCAGGUUAUUUUUUAAUAUGAAAGAAUAACAUGAACCAGACAACAAUUGGAAGAUCAUCUCACAUUUGGUGAUUUCAGCAAAGGCACAUUUUUAAAACCUAUUUUCUUCACUUUGAGAUUAAACUGUAACUUUACAUAAGAAUGUCUUGUAGCUGACAAGUUAAACGUUAUUGUUUUAGUUUAUUAGGACAUACAACAAAGCAUUUCCUGUGAAUUUUUUCAUGAAGGAUUUGAGAGACAUUCUUUUUACAGAUGCAUUUUUUAU